rnacentral:misc_RNA from 1 species
GGAACUUCUACCGCCAUGCAUCCGUGCCACGUUCUGGCCUGUCUGGUUCUUUUUCAAACAGUGUGUACCUUACCAGCCAAAUAUUCGGACGAUGAAAUAGAGAGGUUAUUACGAAAUUUUCUUGAAAAAAGAAAGAAUGAACAUUUGCAUGACAAUGUUCAACGGAAAAACAAACACCAUCAUUUUAAAAAGAAGACUUAGAACAGGACGAGUUGGAUUUAAAUUCCCUAGCCCAAGAUUAUGCAGAGCGACAGACUGACUACCUAGGAGACGGUCCCCACAAGCCAAGAAACUUGAACAGAGGAAAAAAGGGUCCAGAAAUUGCUGAGGAAAAGAUGUACACAAAACAUUCAACCACAUCAGGUUACCUACCAAUCAGGAAAAAAGAACCUUUCAAAUCGACUAUGGGUGGAGGUGGCCCAACAGAACCAUUCAAUACGCUAUUGACUACGCUUCCUUUAGCCCAAACCAGGCGUCAGCAGAGAGUAAGAUCAAGUCCACUCUGGCCCUGAUGGAGCAGGCAACAUGCAUCCGUUGGGAGGAGGUGACUGACCCCAACUACCCAUACCACCACAUCAACUUCUACGGAAACACGACUUCAUGUGCUUCCUACGUUGGCUAUAUCAAAACCGUUGGUCAAAAGAUCUGGCUAGCACCCGGAUGUUUAUGGACUUCAGUAAUCCUCCACGAAAUUCUACAUGCCCUUGGAGCAUGGCACGAGCAAGAGCGGCCUGACAGACAGGGUAACAUCAAUGUUCUGUUUGAAAACAUCGCCCCUUAUGCCGUCGGCAACUUUGAAUGGCAGCAUACACAUGAAUAUGGGCCGUAUGACCUUGGAUCGGUUCUGCAAUACGGUUUAUCGAGUUUUGCAAAGCAGUCUGGACUUCGAACGAUGUCAAUUUCGGACAUUGAUCUGGAAUAUCUCGUUUCUAACAACAAAGAGGAUUUAUCAUUUUAUGACAAAUACAGGGUGAAUCGGUAUUAUGAGUGUACAGCAACUUGUUCACUAACGUGCCUUAAUGGUGGAUUUGAGAAAAUGAACUCUGACGGUGUAUGUUCCUGCCAGUGCCCGGACGGAUUGACAGGUUCAGAUUGCUCUCAGGUGGACUCCUCAGCAGGAUGCGGAGGGAUCAUUGAUAUAACGACCCCAGGGUCAUCUCAGUUCAUCGAGAUGACAUCAUACGGCACUGGACUUCUAUGUACUUGGCUAAUAAAGACUCCCAUUGCGACAACCAUCAAGGCUACAAUAGAGUCUUUGAACCUCCCAGACAGUGCAAACAACAACUGCUAUCACUUUCUGAUUUUUAAGGACUACCUGAUUGGAGAUCCUGGAAAACAGGCUUGUGGAGAUACCCCUGGUGCUGUGUACUCCAAGUAUAUCCAUGGUAACCACAAUAUGAUGAUGAUUCAAUUUGACAGUGCGUCAUAUCCUGACAUUACACCUGGAGCAGGGUUCCGUGUAAAAGUAGAGGCGGUUCCGUCGGGUUGUUACAGCAACCCUUGUAAGUUCGGAUCCACGUGUCAGGAGGGUGGUUCUGUUGACCAAUACACGUGUCUUUGUUCUCAGGGGUUCUCUGGACAAAAUUGUGAUGAGGUCACAGCGAGUGCGACCGUUAGAUCUACCUUUGAGAAGGACUAUGCUGGAAGUAUUUUUCAACAGGAUCCUACGUCUGCCUUUUGGUGGAGCAUUGUUACGAGGUCCAACUUUGAUGGGACCACGGUCUACCCUCACUCUGGUCAACUGUUCGCCGUCAUGAUUCCUUACCUGACUGUCUUCUACCUGUAUACAACUACCAAAGUACGCACAGAGGCUAAAUUCGAAGCUGCUGAGAGGUGCCUGAACAUGACGUACAUCAUGGACAACAAGACUAACGCUAACUGGCCGCAGUACUACACCAAGAUACUGGUGACCGUGCUGGACGGGGAGACUGUCCUUAACGAGUACACCUACUCUAACCACACGGACACCAUGUGGCGCUACACUCUGGUAGACCUUCCCGCCGUCAACGAUCUCAAGGUUGAAAUAACUGGUGUGUAUGGAUGGAAUACGUUUGCAAUGGAUGAUCUGGCUAUACUUCCGGGCCAGUGUGGUGGUGUGUCAAUCACCAAUGCGUGAACGGGCAAUGUGUUUCUGGCGAAGGAAGUUACACGUGCCAGUGUGACGCGGGCUAUUCCGGUCCUUAUUGUGAUGUCUCAGACAAACUCGAUGGUGGUUGGUCAGUGUGGUCGGCAUGGAGCACGUGCACGGUGUCUUGUGGAGGUGGUACCCAGACCCGAUCACGCAGCUGCUCAAACCCUGUACCAGUGAACGGCGGAGCUGAGUGUGCAGGGCAUGACACGGAAUCACAGCCCUGUAGCUCACAGGACUGUCCAGUCGAUGGGGGUUGGUCCAUUUGGUCGGCGUGGAGCACGUGCACGGUGUCUUGUGGCGGUGGUACCCAGACCCGAUUACGCACGUGCUCAGACCCUGCACCACUGAACGGCGGAGCUGAGUGUGAAGGACAAGGCACGGAAUCACAGAACUGUAACUCACAGGACUGUCCAGUAGUCAAUGGAGGUUGGUCCAUUUGGUCGGCGUGGAGCACGUGCACGGUGUCUUGUGGUGGUGGUACCCAGACACGAUCACGCACGUGCUCAGACCCUGCACCAUUGAACGGCGGAGAUGAGUGUCUAGGACAAGACACGGAAUCACAGGACUGUAACAGUGACGGUUGUAAAGUCGAUGGGGGUUGGUCAAUAUGGUCGGCGUGGAGCACGUGUACGGUGUCUUGUGGCGGUGGUACCCAGACACGAUCACGCAGCUGCUCAGACCCUUCACCACUGAACGGCGGAGCUGAGUGUGAGGGAGACAUUAGUCAGACACAGAGCUGUAACACUGACGGAUGUGCAGAAACGUUUGUCUGCAAAUUUGAACAAGAAAACGAAGAAAACUGCUUCCUAGAAGAAGGAACUAAUGAUGAUUUUGACUGGAUCAGGAAUUCUGGAGGAACGGAUACAAGAGGCACAGGCCCGGGUCGAGCCUAUUCUGGUUCGUUUUACAAGUACAUUGACCCCACCGGCAAGAGUCAAGGGCAGAAGGCGGAACUGGUCAGCAACAAAGCUUUCCUAGACACGGCGUACUGCUUUUUCUUUGCCAAACACUCCAAAGGCCGAGACGUUGGAUCGUUAGAGGUUCUGACUAAAGAUGGCACACAGGAAACUACACACUAUUUGUUUAAUACUUCCGUGAAAGGGUGGGAAAGUUUCUCCAAAACCAUACAGCUUAAUAGCAAUACAAAGCUAAUCAUACGUGCAACAGUGGGUUCUGGUCAGAAAGGAGACAUAGCCGUGGAUGAAGUGACUGUGACCCCGGGACAGUGCUGAAAAAUAACUAAUCUACCUGACAAAUACCCCGAUGUACUCGAUUAAAUCCUACGAUAUACACGAUAUUCAAAAUACCUAAUAAAACCGCCAAAAUAACCGACCAUUUACUGUUCUUUUCAUUGAAAGCAAAGCCUUCUUUCAUUACAAGGUCGGAAACUCUUAUUUAAGAUCUAUUAUAUAAGUUAAUAUUUGUAAAACUAGGAUUGUACGUCGAGUUUGAAUUUUUUAGUCAAUGAUCUGGUUUCAGAACGAUUCAUUAGAUUAAUAUUGUUUACAAACUAUAUAGUUUAUAUGUAUUUGUAAAAUACGUUUUCUAUAGUUUAUGAAAUUAUUUAUUUUACGUUAUUGUAGGAAUUUUAUUUUAUGUAGCCUUUAUUUUAUUUUUGCAUAUUGUUUUUCUAAUUCGAUUUUUUUUCCCGACUAUCAUAAAAAAAUAAAUAAAAGUUUGAAUUUC